rnacentral:rRNA from 1 species
GACGAACGCUGGCGGCGUGCCUAAUACAUGCAAGUUGAGCGCUGAAGGUUGGUACUUGUACCAACUGGAUGAGCAGCGAACGGGUGAGUAACGCGUGGGGAAUCUGCCUUUGAGCGGGGGACAACAUUUGGAAACGAAUGCUAAUACCGCAUAAAAACUUUAAACACAAGUUUUAAGUUUGAAAGAUGCAAUUGCAUCACUCAAAGAUGAUCCCGCGUUGUAUUAGCUAGUUGGUGAGGUAAAGGCUCACCAAGGCGAUGAUACAUAGCCGACCUGAGAGGGUGAUAGGCCACAUUGGGACUGAGACACGGCCCAAACUCCUACGGGAGGCAGCAGUAGGGAAUCUUAGGCAAUGGACGAAAGUCUGACCGAGCAACGCCGCGGGAGUGAAGAAGGUUUUCGGAUCGUAAAACUCUGUUGGUAGAGAAGAACGUUGGUGAGAGUGGAAAGCUCAUCAAGUGACGGUAACUACCCAGAAAGGGACGGCUAACUACGUG